rnacentral:lncRNA from 1 species
AAGUCUAAGUCAGUCUCCUAAAGAGCCCGAACAGCUGAGGAAGCUCUUCAUUGGAGGCCUGAGCUUUGAAACAACCGAUGAGAGCCUGAGGAGUCACUCUGAGCAAUGGGGAACGCUCACGGACUGUGUGGUCAUGGGAGAUCCCAACACCAAGCACGCCAGGGGCUUUGGGUUUGUCACUAUACCACUGCGGAGGAGGUGGAUGCAGCCAUGAAUGCAAAGCCACACAAGGUGGACAGAAGAGUUGUGGGACUAAAGACAGCUGUCUCAAGAGAAGAUUCUCAAAGACCAGGUGCCUACUUAACUGUGAAAAAGAUAUUUGUUGAUGACAUUAAAGAAGACACUGAAGAACAUUACCUAAGAUUAUUUUGAACAGUAUGGAAAAAUUGAAGUGAUUGAAAUCAUGACUGACUGAGGCAGUGACAAGAAAAGGGGCUUUGAUUUUGUAACCUUUGAUGACCAUGACUUCGUGGAUAAGACUGUCACUCAGAAAUACCAUAAUGUGAAUGGCCACAACUGUGAAGUCAGGAAAGCCCCAUCAAAGCCAAGAGAUGGCUAGUGCUUCAUCCAGCCAAAGAGGCUGAAGUGAUUCUGGAAAUUUUGAUGGUGGUCGUGGAGGUGGUUUUGAUGGGAAUGACAACUUUGGUCGUGGAGGAAACUUCAGCAGUCAUGAUGGGUUUGGUGGCAGCCAUGGUGAUGGUAGAUAUGGUGGCAGUGGGGAUGGCUACAAUGGAUUUGGUAAUGAUGGAAGCAAUUCUGGAAGUGGUGGAAGCUACAAUGAUUUUGACAAUUGCAAUAGUCAGUCUUCAAAUUUUGAACCCAUGAAGGGAGGACAAUGGUGGCAGAAGCUCUGGCUCCUAUGGGGGUGGAGUCCAAUACUUGGCCAAACCAUGAAACCAAAGUGGCUAUGCCAGUUCCAGUAGCAGCAGCAGCUAUGGCAGUGUCAGAAGAU